rnacentral:rRNA from 2 species
UGCUUGCAUCAUGAUUUACAUUUGAGUGAGUGGCGAACUGGUGAGUAACACGUGGGAAACCUGCCCAGAAGCGGGGGAUAACACCUGGAAACAGAUGCUAAUACCGCAUAACAACUUGGACCGCAUGGUCCGAGUUUGAAAGAUGGCUUCGGCUAUCACUUUUGGAUGGUCCCGCGGCGUAUUAGCUAGAUGGUGGGGUAACGGCUCACCAUGGCAAUGAUACGUAGCCGACCUGAGAGGGUAAUCGGCCACAUUGGGACUGAGACACGGCCCAAACUCCUACGGGAGGCAGCAGUAGGGAAUCUUCCACAAUGGACGAAAGUCUGAUGGAGCAACGCCGCGUGAGUGAAGAAGGGUUUCGGCUCGUAAAACUCUGUUGUUAAAGAAGAACAUAUCUGAGAGUAACUGUUCAGGUAUUGACGGUAUUUAACCAGAAAGCCACGGCUAACUACGUGCCAGCAGCCGCGGUAAUACGUAGGUGGCAAGCGUUGUCCGGAUUUAUUGGGCGUAAAGCGAGCGCAGGCGGUUUUUUAAGUCUGAUGUGAAAGCCUUCGGCUCAACCGAAGAAGUGCAUCGGAAACUGGGAAACUUGAGUGCAGAAGAGGACAGUGGAACUCCAUGU